rnacentral:rRNA from 1 species
GACGGAGGAUGCAAGUGUUAUCCGGAAUCACUGGGCGUAAAGCGUCUGUAGGUUGUUUAAAAAGUCUGCAGUUAAAGGUUGAAGCUUAACUUCAAAAAUGCCGUAGAAACUUUUAAACUAGAGGAUGGUAGGGGUAGAGGGAAUUUCCAGUGGAGCGGUGAAAUGUGUAGAUAUUGGAAAGACCACCGAUGGCGAAGGCACUCUACUGGGCCAUGACUGACACUGAGAGACGAAAGCUAGGGGAGCGAAUGGG